GAUGAACGCUGGCGGCGUGCCUAAUACAUGCAAGUCGAGCGAACAGACGAGGAGCUUGCUCCUCUGACGUUAGCGGCGGACGGGUGAGUAACACGUGGAUAACCUACCUAUAAGACUGGGAUAACUUCGGGAAACCGGAGCUAAUACCGGAUAAUAUAUUGAACCGCAUGGUUCAAUAGUGAAAGACGGUUUUGCUGUCACUUAUAGAUGGAUCCGCGCCGCAUUAGCUAGUUGGUAAGGUAACGGCUUACCAAGGCAACGAUGCGUAGCCGACCUGAGAGGGUGAUCGGCCACACUGGAACUGAGACACGGUCCAGACUCCUACGAGAGGCAGCAGUAGGGAAUCUUCCGCAAUAGGCGAGAGCCUGACGGAGCAACGCCGCGUGAGUGAUGAAGGUCUUCGGAUCGUAAAACUCUGUUAUUAGGGAAGAACAAAUGUGUAAGUAACCAUGCACGUCUUGACGGUACCUAAUCAGAAAGCCACGGCUAACUACGUG
rnacentral:rRNA from 1 species